rnacentral:rRNA from 1 species
UACGAAGGGGGCUAGCGUUGCUCGGAAUCACUGGGCGUAAAGCGCACGUAGGCGGAUUGCUAAGUCAGGGGUGAAAUCCUGGAGCUCAACUCCAGAACUGCCUUUGAUACUGGCGAUCUUGAGACCGGAAGAGGUAAGUGGAACUGCGAGUGUAGAGGUGAAAUUCGUAGAUAUUCGCAAGAACACCAGUGGCGAAGGCGGCUUACUGGUCCGGUUCUGACGCUGAGGCGCGAAAGCGUGGGGAGCAAACAGG